UGACUGCAGUGUACUCUCAAUGAGGAAGAUAUAGAUACGAAAAGAACUAGAGCCGCAUCACAUGGGGACUUCUGCAAAUACAGAGACUCGGAUUAAAGGUGGAGAAGAUGGAGCUAAUGGAACUGCUUAUUUAAUACAUUUGAACAACUUUUGGGGUACUUAGGGCACUCCACAGAAGGAUGUUAUUAUCAAGUCAGAUGCACCGGACACUUUGUUAUUGGAGAAACAUGCAGAUUAUAUCGCAUCCUAUGGCUCAAAGAAAGAUGAUUAUGAAUACUGUAUGUCUGAGUAUUUGAGAAUGAGUGGCAUCUAUUGGGGUCUGACAGUAAUGGAUCUCAUGGGACAACUUCAUCGCAUGAAUAGAGAAGAGAUUCUGGCAUUUAUUAAGUCUUGCCAACAUGAAUGUGGUGGAAUAAGUGCUAGUAUCGGACAUGAUCCUCAUCUUUUAUACACUCUUAGUGCUGUCCAGAUUCUUACGCUGUAUGACAGUAUUAAUGUUAUUGACGUAAAUAAAGUUGUGGAAUAUGUUAAAGGUCUACAGAAAGAAGAUGGUUCUUUUGCUGGAGAUAUUUGGGGAGAAAUUGACACAAGAUUCUCUUUUUGUGCGGUGGCAACUUUGGCUUUGUUGGGGAAGCUUGAUGCUAUUAAUGUGGAAAAGGCAAUCGAAUUUGUUUUAUCCUGUAUGAACUUUGACGGUGGAUUUGGUUGCAGACCAGGUUCUGAAUCCCAUGCUGGGCAGAUCUAUUGUUGCACAGGAUUUCUGGCUAUUACAAGUCAGUUGCAUCAAGUAAAUUCUGAUUUACUUGGCUGGUGGCUUUGUGAACGACAGUUACCCUCAGGCGGGC
rnacentral:sRNA from 1 species